GAGGCGGGGCGCCUGUGGGAGCCGUGGAGGGAACUUUCCCAGUCCCCGAGGCGGAUCCGGUGUUGCAUCCUUGGAGCGAGCUGAGAGCUCGAGGUGAGCUGGGCUCGCGGUCGCCCCUCUCGCGCGCCCUCUUUAAGAACCACGGCGUCCAACCUCCCUGGAAAUGGGGGGAACAUGGCCGAGGCGCGUGGCGAGGCCGCCUCGUGGAGGCCCCGGAGCGGCAUCCUCAGCGCCCCAGCGAUCCGGUGCCCAUUAGAACCUGCUAAGGCCAUCAAACCUAUUGAUCGGAAGUCAGUCCAUCAGAUUUGCUCUGGGCCGGUGGUACCGAGUCUAAGCACUGCGGUGAAGGAGUUAGUAGAAAACAGUCUGGAUGCUGGUGCCACUAAUAUUGAUCUAAAGCUUAAGGACUAUGGAGUGGAUCUCAUUGAAGUUUCAGGCAAUGGAUGUGGGGUAGAAGAAGAAAACUUCGAAGGCUUAACUCUGAAACAUCACACAUCUAAGAUUCAAGAGUUUGCCGACCUACCUCAGGUUGAAACUUUUGGCUUUCGGGGGGAAGCUCUGAGCUCACUUUGUGCACUGAGUGAUGUCACCAUUUCUACCUGCCAUGUAUCGGCGAAGGUUGGGACUCGACUGGUGUUUGAUCACUAUGGGAAAAUCAUCCAGAAAACCCCCUACCCCCACCCCAGAGGGAUGACAGUCAGUGUGAAGCAGUUAUUUUCUACGCUACCUGUGCACCAUAAAGAAUUUCAAAGGAAUAUUAAGAAGUGAGUGAGCGCUCAUGGGAUCUGGUUGUUUAGAAGCAUGCACCACCUCCCGCUUCACUCUCUCUGUCUCUCCUGCUCCACCAUGGCCAGAAACGUGCCUGCUUCCCCUUCGCCUUCUGCCGUGAUUGUCAGUUUCCUGAGGCCUCCCCAGCCAUGCUUCCUGUACAGCCUGCAGAACUGACUCCUAGAAGUACCCCACCCCACCCCUGCUCCUUGGAGGACAACGUGAUCACUGUAUUCAGCUCUGUCAAGAAUGGUCCAGGUUCUUCUAGAUGAUCUGCACAAAUGGCUCCUCUCCUCCUUCCUGAUGUCUGCCAUUAGCACUGGAAUAAAGUUCCUGCUGAAAAUCCA
rnacentral:lncRNA from 1 species